rnacentral:rRNA from 1 species
AUUGAACGCUGGCGGCAGGCCUAACACAUGCAAGUCGAACGGUAACGGGAAGAAGCUUGCUUCUUUGCUGACGAGUGGCGGGCGGGUGAGUAAUGUCUGGGAAACUGUCUGAUGGAGGGGGAUAACUACUGGAAACGGUAGCUAAUACCGCAUAACGUCGCAAGACCAAAGAGCGGGACAUUCUGGCCUCUUGCCAUCGGAUGUGCGCAGAUGGGAUUAGCUAGUAGGUGGGGUAACGGCUCACCUAGGCGACGAUCCCUAGCUGGUCUGAGAGGAUGACCAGCCACACUGGAACUGAGACACGGUCCAGACUCCUACGGGAGGCAGCAGUGGGGAAUAUUGGACAAUGGGCGCAAGCCUGAUGCAGCCAUGCCGCGUGCAUGAAGAAGGCCUUCGGGUUGUAAAGUACUUUCGGCGGGGAGGAAGGGAGUAAAGUUAAUACCUUGGCUUAUUGACGUUACCCGCAGAAGAAGCACCGGCUAACUCCGUG